rnacentral:lncRNA from 1 species
AAAGCCAUGAUUAUGUGUGCAAUAUAAUUUGAUAAAUUCCAGUUAUGAACUCUUGAAUCGUGAAUGCAAAUGGCUUAACUAUUUGAUUGAUAACUUAUUUGUAUUUUUUAAUUAAGGAUCGACACUUAAUUGGCAUGCAUAAAUCCGUUGCUAGAAUAUAAGGAAGUUUCACAUAAUCGUUACAAACUUAUAUUCACAUGUAGUGAAGGUCGCUUAUAAACGAUCGCGUUAAGUUCAAUUCCUAGCAUGAGUGACAUGAUGUCAUAGUUGCAAUUGCUUUGUCAAUGCUUAUGAUUUUCAUUAAACGUAAUGAUCUUUGAUUGCAUCUCUAUUAUGAUGUCAUGUAGGGAACUUUAGAAGAAUGUUUUGGGUUGUCGAAUGAUGUCAUCCAAUCCAAUAAAACAAGGAAAAUCUGAGAGUUAACUAGUGAUGUCACAGUUAAUUUGGAGCAUUGUCGUUCAUAAUUUAAUGAAGUAGUAACUGGAAAUCAAGUUAUUUGCAUACAUGUCAUGUGUGGAGAAAAAGCCUCUAGCUAUCCCAUC